AAAACGCCUAAAAUGAGAAAAGAAGCCCUAAAAGUUCUCACUUCUCACUCUCGUCUUCCUCAUCAUGCCGUCUCCCGUCAUGUUCUCUCAAAUCAUCAAUGGCAGAUUUUGGUCUUCCAGUUGCAUGUCUUCACACUCCAGUGCUACACAUCUUCUCCUGUAAUUUUUUUCUCUACUUUUCAUAUUUUGCUCAACUCUUGAGCCAUUGUCUUGUCCACGAAAUUGCUGCCUGCUGCAAUAUUUGAAACUUAAACUGCCUUAGCCUUCACCCUUCAGGUCCUGUAAUAGUUAGAUUUCAGAGCUCGUCUAGUCUUGUUAUUUUUCUUAAACUUUAUCAAUUAAUUAUUCGUUGUGUUUUUUAUUUUUUUGGGGUUUAUUAAUAGAUUCAAAAUCUGUUGUGGCCUGCGUGAAUUCACAAUACUUUAGCCAUUAUUCACCGGCAUAUUAACUUUAGGCUUGUCUCACUAAUUUUUAUUUUUAUUUUUGGUACUAAUGUUGUUGUAGACAUGCUGCUGUUACGACAAAUAUCUCAGGAAAUACCUACAUGGGCUGCAUUUCGUGCUGGUGCAAUAUUGGAGGUAAGGGUCCCUGCAUGCAUUUUACUUUGUUACUGUCAUUCUAGAGUGUUUCUGCAAGAUGAGUGGCGGAAGUAUAGAUUGGCAGACGUAUAUCUCACUAAUUUUACUUGGUUAUAUAUCUCAGGAAAUUCCUACAUUGGUUGCAUCUAGUAUGUCUUUUAAAACAAAUGUAGGUAUAAGAAGUAUAGAGUGGCAGAAGAUACCCAAAUGACCUAUAUUCAGUAUUUUUGCAAGAUCACCUCUUCGACUAGAAAACAAUUGCACAUAAAAUUAGUAGUACUAGAAAAUGUGUUAGUUUUUCACUAGCAAAUCGGCACAGUAAGCCUUGGUUUUUUGUGUCUAUAUUAUGUGUUGAUUUUUCACCUAUAUGUCAUGUAAAACAACGCGAAUCAGUUAUGUUUUUACGUCUUAUGUAAUAAAUUACAAUUUGCUCAAACCGACCGACCCGACCCGACCGACACUUGAUUGGGUUGGGUUGGGUUGAU
rnacentral:lncRNA from 1 species